CACGUAGGGCGCAAGCGUUGUCCGGAAUUAUUGGGCGUAAAGAGCUCGUAGGUGGUUUGUUACGUCUGCUGUGAAAACCUAGGGCUUAACCCUGGGCUUGCAGUGGAUACGGGCAGACUAGAGGUAGGUAGGGGAGAAUGGAAUUCCUGGUGUAGCGGUGAAAUGCGCAGAUAUCAGGAGGAACACCGGUGGCGAAGGCGGCUCACUGGCUCGUAUCUGACGCUCAGGCGCGAUAGCGUGGGGGAUCAAAACAGG
rnacentral:rRNA from 1 species